rnacentral:rRNA from 1 species
AUUGAACGCUGGCGGCAUGCCUUACACAUGCAAGUCGAACGGCAGCACGGGUGCUUGCACCUGGUGGCGAGUGGCGAACGGGUGAGUAAUACAUCGGAACGUACCUUAUCGUGGGGGAUAACGCAGCGAAAGCUGUGCUAAUACCGCAUACGCCCUGAGGGGGAAAGCGGGGGAUCGCAAGACCUCGCGCGAUUAGAGCGGCCGAUGCCUGAUUAGCUUGUUGGUGGGGUAAAAGCCCACCAAGGCGACGAUCAGUAGCUGGUCUGAGAGGACGAUCAGCCACACUGGGACUGAGACACGGCCCAGACUGCUACGGGAGGCAGCAGUGGGGAAUUUUGGACAGUGGGGGCAACCCUGAUCCAGCAAUGCCGCGUGAGUGAAGAAGGCCUUCGGGUUGUAAAGCUCUUUUGUCAGGGAAGAAACACCGGCUCUAACACAGUCCGGGAAUGACGGUACCUGAAGAAUAAGCACCGGCUAACUACGUGCCAGCCGCCGCGGUAAAAC